rnacentral:tRNA from 1 species
UCCCUGGUAUCUCAGUAGGUAAAGAAUCUGCCUGCAAAGCAGGAGACCCACGUUUGAUCCCUGGGUUGGGAU